rnacentral:rRNA from 1 species
UACGAAGGUCCCAAGCGUUAUCCGGAUUUAUUGGGUUUAAAGGGUGCGUAGGCGGGCUAUUAAGUCAGUGGUGAAAGCCCCAAGCUUAACUUGGGAACUGCCAUUGAUACUGAUGGUCUUGAGUACAUUUGAAGUGGGCGGAAUGUGUCAUGUAGCGGUGAAAUGCUUAGAUAUGACACAGAACACCGAUUGCGAAGGCAGCUUACUACCCGAAUAUUGACACUGAGGCACGAAAGCGUGGGGAUCAAACAGG